GACGAACGCUGGCGGCGGGCUUAACACAUGCAAGUCGAACGGAGUGGCGAACGGGGGAGUAACACGUGAGUAACCUGCCCUUGACGUCGGGAUAACUUCAGGAAACUGGGGCGAAUACCGGAUAGUUUUGGAUGGACUCGCGGCUUAUCAGCUUGUUGGUGGGGGAUGGGCUUACCAUGGCAUUGACGGGUAGCCGGCCUGAGAGGGCGACCGGCCACAUUGGUACUGAGUUACGGCCCAGACUCCUACGGGAGGCAGCGGUGGCGAAUAUUGCCCAAUGGGCGGACGUCUGAUGCAGAAACGCUGCGUGCGGGAUGACGGCCUUCGGGUUGUAAACCGCUUUCAGCAGGGGCGCGGUACCUGCAGAAGAAGCACCGGCUAACUACGUGCCAGCAGCCGCGGUAAUAC
rnacentral:rRNA from 1 species